rnacentral:rRNA from 1 species
UACGGAGGGUGCGAGCGUUGUCCGGAAUCACUGGGCGUAAAGGGCGCGUAGGCGGCCUGAUAAGUAGGGGGGUGAAAUCCUGCGGCUUAACCGCAGGGCUGCCUUCUAAACUGUCAGGCUGGAGCACAGUAGAGGCAGGUGGAAUUCCCCGGUGUAGCGGUGGAAUGCGUAGAGAUCGGGAAGAACAUCAGUGGCGAAGGCGGCCUGCUGGGCUGUUGCUGACGCUGAGGCGCGACAGCGUGGGGAGCAAACAGG